rnacentral:lncRNA from 1 species
CUGAUACUUUGAUCUUGGACUUCCCAGCCUCCAGAACUGGUAAUGAGGAAAAUGAGGCAGCCAGAUGGAGUCCCAGCAAAAGCAGACUUCAGGCAGAAGGAACGGCAAGUCCAGGGCUCUGGAUGAGAGAAGAUCAACAACAGGAGACAGAGGGACCCCUCUAGAGGCAGGAGGAAAGAUAAAUGGCCACAGGCUGCUGUCAUCUAGGCCAGGGUUCUGGCAGCAAUGAAAACACGUCUGCAGGAGGAGAAAGAAGUGCUUUUGAAUCCAUCUUACUCAUCGUCUGUCUCUUGUCUCUUCAAAGUGAAUGCAGUUGGAAGGAAAGGGACAGGUUGGUUCUGUGCUUUGCCCAAGUAGGUCCAAAUUCUGUUUUUUUUCAGGAUGUAGCAGGGUGAGCUGUUCUGACAAACUUGAUCUUAGCACAACAGGGGCAGUAAGGUCAUCAUCCCCACCAGUCCUUUGCCCUAGGAUUACAGGACCUGCCCCCAGAGGGACAGGAGCUCAUCCUACACUGUCCCAGUGUUUCUGUGAAACACCUUAGCUCCCUGGCUGAUUCCCCAGUGGCUCAGGGGCCCAGGGAGCCUCCUCACACCCAAGGUCCCUGUCCCCAGGUGUGGGGGAUCCCUAUGUAUGACAUUGUGGGUGACUGGGACUCCUCACUGAACAGGAUCAGUAAAGGGCCUGCCUGGCUCUAGGCACUCAUUCAGCUGCACUGGAAUUUGGAGAAAGAGGCUGCAGAAUACACCCCUAGCCCUAAUUAGGAAAGAAACAGAGUGGUCUUGAGUCAACUCCUGAAAGCUGUGUGUGCCCUGGAUCAAUGGCCCACGGGACAUGUAGAACAGAGGCAGGAAGUCCCACUGUAAAUGGCAGACUUCAGUUUCCAGGACUUAGAUUCCACUGGGAAGCAGCUGUCCAAUUCACAAAAUUGUCAGUGAUCAAAAUAAAUAUAAUAAAGUAGUUCAUUUUAAGCAAUGCAAAGAAAGCUGAGUGGCAGAUAAAGCUAAAGAUGAGCUCCAGAUGCCACCAGGCAUAGCACGUGGAGGGACUGCAUACCCGCGUCCAGCGUAACUUACAACUCCUGGAAUGCUGGGACUGUGCAGUGUUAAUUCUAAUGGCCCAUGGAGGCAUAAUUAAUUAACCUUUCAGUUACUCUGGGCACUGCCCUUAUCCAAACAUAAAUAUGUGUAUGCCGGGAAAAUUUUGCAAUAUAGAAAGCCGACAUCGUUGACUCCUUAUUCAUAGGCAAAUCCAGUGCUUUUCAAUUUUGACUGUGCAGCAGAAUCACCGAUGGAUUUUAUUUUUAAAAUAGGGGUACGUAUGUCUCAUCUCACCCAGGGUGAGGUCCAUGGAUCUAAUGUUAUGAAGCCCACAGUGGGUCCCAAAUCCCAGCUGAGCUCCAGGACUAGGAAUGUCACCCAGCCUCCCUGCUGUAGAGCUGCACCAUGGCUUUCGUUCUUCCCGUGGUGGAAACAAAGCUUGCCUAGAGUUUCUGGAUGCAGCAUCUCUCCGAAAACAAGCUGGGGCUCUGCCGCCCUCACUGGAGCACAGCCAGUGCUGUGGAGCCCCCAGAGUGGCCACAGGGAUAGAGGGGACUUAAAACUGAGUAGGGGGCAACAGAGUUGGGGGUCUAUCCACCACAUGUGGACACACAGCAAGUCAGGCAUGUGGGAAGGAGGGAACAGCAGCGUGGAAUGGAAAUGGCAAAUGUUCAUCCAGCCAGGUGUUAUUUUAUUUAUGGCUUCUGGGGAAAUGGGAUGAACAAUUUCAGAACAGCCUUGGGUUGAACUUGAUGCUGCAAAUGGAACUUAAUUGCUCAAAUAAUGUCAUAUCAAUUUCAUAUAAAUGAUAAAGAAGGAAAGUCCCUCUUUCUAGAGAGAAAACUCUCCUGACGGCAUCAGGCUGUCCUGGGAAGUCACUGCUUCCCUUUUCUGUUGUGGGGCAUAACGGGAGAUGAAGCUGGGAAUUGACAAUCUCUUUUUUCUGCUGGACUGAAACCUCCUGGAGCAGAAAAAUAGUUUUUUAUUUUGCAAAUGAAAGUCAAAGAUGUGGCAGGAGUUGAGGGUGGGCAUUGCAAGAGCUAAAUCCGGUGCUUCUGACAGCCCAGCCCUAGUGAGAGGCCCCUUCUGAGAGUCCCAGGGACUCUUAUGUAAAUGAAACUCAAAUAGAGCUCCCCACAGCACCUGAGCUUAGGGUCACCAGGCUCUGGGACUCUGUAUGUGCUCCCAGGAGAUUCCAUCCCCAGGAUAACACUGCAGGUCAAUUUGUGCUUUUCCUACCAUGCAAACCAUACUCUGGUAACUGUGCAGGAUUCUAAGAAAUAAACUUAUUGA